rnacentral:rRNA from 1 species
CUAGCUUGCUAGAAGAUGACGAGCGGCGGACGGGUGAGUAAUGCUUGGGAACAUGCCUUUAGGUGGGGGACAACCAUUGGAAACGAUGGCUAAUACCGCAUAAUGUCUACGGACCAAAGGGGGCUUCGGCUCUCGCCUUUAGAUUGGCCCAAGUGGGAUUAGCUAGUUGGUGAGGUAAUGGCUCACCAAGGCGACGAUCCCUAGCUGGUUUGAGAGGAUGAUCAGCCACACUGGAACUGAGACACGGUCCAGACUCCUACGGGAGGCAGCAGUGGGGAAUAUUGCACAAUGGGCGCAAGCCUGAUGCAGCCAUGCCGCGUGUGUGAAGAAGGCCUUCGGGUUGUAAAGCACUUUCAGUUGUGAGGAAAGGUUAGUAGUUAAUACCUGCUAGCUGUGACGUUAGCAACAGAAGAAGCACCGGCUAACUCCGUGCCAGCAGCCGCGGUAAUACGGAGGGUGCGAGCGUUAAUCGGAAUUACUGGGCGUAAAGCGUACGCAGGCGGUUUGUUAAGCGAGAUGUGAAAGCCCCGGGCUCAACCUGGGAACUGCAUUUCGAACUGGCAAACUAGAGUGUGAUAGAGGGUGGUAGAAUUUCAGGUGUAGCGGUGAAAUGCGUAGAGAUCUGAAGGAAUACCGAUGGCGAAGGCAGCCACCUGGGUCAACACUGACGCUCAUGUACGAAAGCGUGGGGAGCAAACGGGAUUAGAUACCCCGGUAGUCCACGCCGUAAACGAUGUCUACUAGGAGUUCGGUUUUUCGGAACUGUCUUCCAAAGCUAACGCAUUAAGUAGACCGCCUGGGGAGUACGGCCGCAAGGUUAAAACUCAAAUGAAUUGACGGGGGCCCGCACAAGCGGUGGAGCAUGUGGUUUAAUUCGAUGCAACGCGA